UACGUAGGGGGCAAGCGUUGUCCGGAAUUAUUGGGCGUAAAGAGCGCGUAGGCGGUCCGGUAAGUCGGCUGUGAAAGUCAAGGGCUCAACCCUUGAAAGCCGGCCGAUACUGUCGGACUAGAGUCCGGAAGAGGCGAGUGGAAUUCCCGGUGUAGCGGUGAAAUGCGCAGAUAUCGGGAGGAACACCAAUUGCGAAGGCAGCUCGCUGGGACGUUACUGACGCUGAGACGAGAAAGCGUGGGGAGCAAACAGG
rnacentral:rRNA from 1 species